UGGGGAAUUGUUCACAAUGGGCGCAAGCCUGAUGACGCAACGCCGCGUGGGGGAUGAAGGUCUUCGGAUCGUAAACCCCUGUCGAAUGGGACGAAAGACUCGCGAGUGAAUACUUCGCGAGAGUGACGGUACCGUUAAAGGAAGCCACGGCUAACUCUGUGCCAGCAGCCGCGGUAAUACAGAGGUGGCAAGCGUUGUUCGGAAUUACUGGGCGUAAAGGGCGCGUAGGCGGCCCUCUAAGUCAGACGUGAAAUCCCCCGGCUUAACCUGGGAACUGCGUCUGAUACUGGAGGGCUUGAGUAUGGGAGAGGGAUGUAGAAUUCCAGGUGUAGCGGUGAAAUGCGUAGAUAUCUGGAGGAAUACCGGUGGCGAAGGCGGCAUCCUGGACCAUUACUGACGCUGAGGCGCGAAAGCUAGGGGANCAAACGGGAUUAGAUACCCGGGUAGUCCCUGAGCGGGCUGGCAAGGCGCAU
rnacentral:rRNA from 1 species